rnacentral:lncRNA from 1 species
GAUUCUGUGGCGAGUGCCGGCCGAAAGCUAGGUCCGGAUUGCACGUGGAGGGCCGCCCGAAGGGCACUCUCGGACAUUAACCCGCAUUCUGGUGGGUCUAGAGGAAAUUGGGGGACGAAGAGUGGCAGCACUGACCUGGUCUGGGACGUGGGGAGAAGGUACCAUGGGGCGCAAGUUGGACCCUACGAAGGAGAAGCGGGGGCCAGGCCGAAAGGCCCGGAAGCAGAAGGGUGCCGAGACAGAACUCGUCAGAUUCUUGCCUGCAGUAAGUGACGAAAAUUCCAAGAGGCUGUCUAGUCGUGCUCGAAAGAGGGCAGCCAAGAGGAGAUUGGGCUCUGUUGAAGCCCCUAAGACAAAUAAGUCUCCUGAGGCCAAACCAUUGCCUGGAAAGCUACCAAAAGGUCCGUGAAACUAAGAGCUGGAUGCUACAUGAGGAGUCCCUUUGGGUCCUGGGUAGGGAAGAACUCGCUAAACAUUUCCGGAGUGAAAGGAACAGCCAAAGGACAUUCUGAGGGGUAGAAAGUACAGGCUCCCAGGGUGUGGGGCCAGGGAAUGUGUGGCUGCCAUUAGUCCAGGACUCUUCAAACCCUUAGGGAUCUCUGCAGGAGCUGUCCAGACAGCUGGUAAGAAGGGACCCCAGUCCCUAUUUAAUGCUCCUCGAGGCAAGA